rnacentral:tRNA from 1 species
AAACAAAAACAAAAAAUCAAGCCACCUAGGGGACUCGAACCCCUGACCUUAAGAUUAAAAGUCUCACGCUCUACCAACUGAGCUAAGGAGGCCCA